rnacentral:rRNA from 1 species
ACUCCUACGGGAGGCAGCAGUAGGAAUCUUCCGCAAUGGGCGCAAGCCUGACGGAGCAACGCCGCGUGAGCGAGGACGGCCUUCGGGUUGUAAAGCUCUGUUCUUCGGGAAGAAGGGCGGGAGGGCGAACAACUCUUCCGCUUGACGGUACCGAAGGAGAAAGCCCCGGCUAACUACGUGCCAGCAGCCGCGGUAAUACGUAGGGGGCGAGCGUUGUCCGGAAUUAUUGGGCGUAAAGCGCGCGUAGGCGGCUGGUUAAGUCCUGUGUGAAAGACCACGGCUCAACCGUGGGGGUGCACGGGAAACUGGCCGGCUUGAGUGCAGGAGAGGGGAGCGGAAUUCCCGGUGUAGCGGUGGAAUGCGUAGAGAUCGGGAGGAACACCAGUGGCGAAGGCGGCUCCCUGGCCUGUAACUGACGCUGAGGCGCGAAAGCGUGGGGAGCGAACAGGAUUAGAUA